GCAAGGAAAAAAAGCCCAUAACCGAAUCCUCUCCAAAACCAGAAAAAUAUAAAUUCGUUUUUGCCAUUGUAGGAAGAUUCAAAGGCUUUUGAUCAUCAAAACGCAAUCUGUGGGAAGUGGCGAGGGAAUUCAAAUCAAUUUUCAGGCGCAAGACAUCAAGAACGAGCCACUGCGCAUCGCGUUUUUCCGUUUUUCUUAUAUUUUCGUUUGCAUACGUGCGGCCAUUAGAAAUCGGUUUUGAUUACAUGAUUGUGUUCGUUUCGAUGUGGGGAAUAUUUCUGGACUGGUGUUGUUGAGUUUUGUUGCAGGUUUAACCGAAUGCCAUUGUUAGGGUUGGGUGUUCUUCAAAUUGGGGCUUUCAAUUAGAUUUGAUUUUAAGAAAAAUAAACAAGCAUAGCGUGUUCGUGGGGUCGUUUAUAAUUGGUCUGGAUUAGCUUCUUGUGUUCCUUGCUAAUAAUUUGCAGGUUUGAUUAAUGGGGACACACAGCCAUACAAUAAAAUCGUGGCUAAAUGUAUGUUUCUUUUAAGAAAAACGAAGAAGGAAGACGAUGCAGCUACUGGGCGCGAAUCUCUUUUAUUCCAUUUCUUUUUAUUUGCGUUCUUUUAUAUUUAAUGCGCAUCGUAUUUCAAACAGAUAAUAUGCAUAGCCGGGAUGGCAAAGGGCGUGGUUGCAAGCUGAAGGUCCUGGGAUCGAAUCCCAGGCUACGUAACUUGUUUUUUUUAUUAUUUGCAUUCCAUAGAUCCUGUGCACCCACGCUCAAGGAGCCUCACCAUGAGCUUGGGAUUUGAGCCAUCAGAUUGUCAACAACAUAAGAUCCAACGCCUAGGAACUGAUGGCACACUAUGGACACUCCAAAGACCAGCAGCAGGGGAUCACAUGUCGGCCAACAAGAAUGUCUCGUGCUCCGAUACUCAUUAAGGAUAUGGUCCAGGGAAAUCAAUUUUGGAAGAUGCUAAUAAGGGUUAUUGAUGUGUGGUUUGUUAAGGAAAAAACAUGACAACAACACCUUGAGUUCAUCAUUCAAUAUGGAAAGGGUGAUUGGAUUCAUGUUACGACUAGGAGCAGAGACUUCCAAGAUUGGAUCAAACAAGUCAAAGAGCAUGAAACAUAUUCCCUCUAUAAUGGAGAUCCUGUUAUCAAUGAUGGACCUUUUAAAGUGUGUUCUAACCCACUCAAACUUCUAUUCAACGGAGGUACUACCAUGACCAAUUUGGAAAUUCCAGAAAUUCCGAGUCACAGAUACAACUUUCAACCUAUUGCAGAUUUUCUCAAGGGAAGCUACAAACCUGACAUGUUAUACGAUGUGAUUGGUGUUUUUAAAGAUGAGCUUAAGACGCAAAUGGGUGGUGGUGGAAGGAAGUCUUGCGUCAAUAUCACUUUGCGUGAUAUUGAAGGAAACGUGAUCGAGGUUGCGUUGUGGGAUGAUUAGUGCAAACAGUUUAUGAACUACAAUACCCCUAGCAAGAUGGUUGGUCCUACUAUUAUUGUCUUGACACAUGCGUGGUGCAAGAUAAACACAGUUUCUGGAGCACGGAGUCUCUCAAAUGCAUGGAGUGGCUCAAGACUUCUGAUAUUUCCUCUAUGCCAUUAGUCAUUUA